CUUUCGGAUUGCGAGACAUUUUUGGGACAUCCUGUAUAUGUUGCCUAGUGGUUGCGCGUUGCGCCAGUUGAGCGUAUCUGCAACCGUGAAACGAAGGUUAUAAUAUGUAAGAAAAAUGUGCAUAGUCAAUUUAAUAGCCAAUGCGUUUUUAUCGUUAUUUUAUGUUGCUGACGCUUUACGCUCAGAACUAUUUUUACUGCGAAGAACUUUCAUGAAUAUUUAUUAUUUUAUGAACAAAAAUAAGUGAAAACAGCUAAUUCACUCAAAUUGUCCUUCAUGUUUUAGCAACGAGCUAACCUCAAACCAUAGUAACGUAACAACAAUUGGUUUAAAUUAUAAUUUUAAUAAAAAUUGUCUACGUUAAUUAUGCACAAUACACGAGCUACGUAAACAUUUAUCUUCUUUUGCCAAUAAUCCUAACACAUGCACACACGUCAACAAACGAAUGCGGAUGAAAAGAGUUCACCAUGUACGGACGUAUGCGAGCCAGUCGUCUGAAUUCAGUAUCACCAUAACCUAAUAAGGUAGUGGAACCGGUUACUGUGCAGCGACAUUUGAUUUCUUUUCCGGUAUAGUUAACUUACGAUAAGACAUAUUAAAUUGUUUUACUAAAAAAAAUUAACGAAAUGAAAGAAUACACAAAUUAUUCGAUAAGCAGUAAGUUAAUUGUGUCCGGAAACAAGCCAAGGGCAUAGCAGUUGGUCACCCCACAGUAAUCGACUCCGCUAGCUUAUGCGAAUGCAAGACAUAAGUAUGGUAGCUGGCGGAACUUCGUCACUUAGAAAAUUUCAAAUUACUCAAAAUACAACGGCUUUACAUUGAAAUUAUAUAUAUAUUUUUUUCUAUUUUAGCAUUUCAAUCUCGUAAGGGCUUAUAUUUACUUAACAAUAUCGGAUAUUUGGCUGUUCGGAUAAUGGAGAUUCUGUAGGACACUGCACUGGUACAUGACCUCUUUAUUUCCUGCGAGACCAGUUCACACCGGUUCAACGAUGGCACACACACACAAACUAGUUUCUUUUAUAUGAUAUUAUAAAAGAUAUGGAAAAUAGAACGUUCGGAUAUCGGACUACGUUUACGUUUAACGGGGUCUCGCUUAGAGAAGCCUCUACCGUAUUCUAAUCAAGGAAGAUUAGAAUGUAAUUCACGCCGGAUGAAUCCGACGACUACGUUUCGCAAUCUCUUUUAAUAGACACAUUGUUAAGAAGAAGCGUACGUGGGAAUCGGCAUGAAAUCUUACAUUUUUAUCGUACAACUGCAAGUAUGCGGAACGG